UGCCCYACAGUUYCUCGCCCUGGAACAAGGAAGCCGGUAUCAGGCACAUCCUAUUGAGCCCAUGAYGCCUUGCUUAGCCACACCCUCAAGGGAACUCAGCAGUGAUAAACAUUAAGCCAUAAGUGAAAGCUUGACUUAGUUAAGGUUAAGAGGGCCGGUAAAACUCGUGCCAGCCACCGCGGUUAUACGAGAGGCCCAAGUUGAUGGCCAUCGGCGUAAAGCGUGGUUAAAUUAAAACUCACACUAAAGCAAAACAUCUUCAAGACUGUUAUACGUAACCGAAGACAGGAAGUUCAACCACGAAAGUGGCUUUAUUUGAUUUGAAUCCACGAAAGCUAAGGAACAAACUGGGAUUAGAUACCCCACUAUGCCUAGCCCUAAACAUUGAUAGUACUACACACCCACUAUCCGCCCGGGAACUACGAGCAAUAGCUUAAAACCCAAAGGACUUGGCGGUGCUUUAGAUCCACCUAGAGGAGCCUGUUCUAGAACCGAUANCCCCCGUUYAACCUCACCCUUCCUUGUUUAUCCCGCCUAUAUACCGCCGUCGUCAGCUUA
rnacentral:rRNA from 1 species